UCAACCAGUUCAAAACCUGAACCAAAUCAACCCAAGCUCGUCCCGCUAAAAGCUCCAUGCCUUACUACUUGGAAGAAUGAGAAAAUUUGCACCAAGAGCUUGAAGGAUUCCUAACUAUGUUCAUGUUUACUUUGCAAGUCUCAUGAAGCAAGGUUGGAUCUGCCACUUUCUUUGGACUUGUAUACGUACUCAGCAUAUUCUUUAAAAGGUUUGAAGGUGUUUUUCCGUUCAAAUUCAUAUAUCAUGUAUCUGAUGUUAAUUUUAGAGAACAAUCACACUAAUUAAUCAUGAAUUUGUGGUGCAGCUACAAGUAGUUUCAGAGAUCAUGACUGAUUCCGAUCAUGUGAUAUUGGGAGCUGGAAGUAGUUUGAUGGUUGAAAUUGACCACUGCCUGUUUGUGUGUCUAAAUUUUCAAAUACUUCCAUGCUGAAUUGUCUGGUGAAAUAUUGUGUUGUCCAUCCAUUCAGAGAACAAAUGGAAGACAAACGCUUUCCAGUGAAGGAUUUUAAUCAAUUGUGCAAGCACUUCAGCCUUUUGAUGCCACUCUUGUUAGGAGUAGACCACGUAGAGGAUUUGUUUUUUGUUUUUAUUUUUAUUUUUUAAAUAUAUAUUCAAGACCAUAUUCAAUUUAUUGUUGUAAAUAUUAUAUUUUUUUUUAUUGUGAAGUAAUAUAAAUUUUGUUUAAUAUUCAAUUUUAAUUGUAUUGCAACAUUUUUUAUGUUUCAAAUAUUAAAAAAAUACAGGUUUCAAUUGAAUUAUAU